rfam:Homo sapiens chromosome 5, GRCh38 reference primary assembly.
GCUGGGCGUGGUGGUGCAUGCCUGUAAUCCUAGCUACCUAGGAGGCUGAGGCAGGAGAAUUGCUUGAACCCAGGAGGCAGAGUUUGCAGUGAGCCGAGACUGUGCCACUGCAAUUCAGCCUGGGCAAAAGACCAAGACUCUGUCUCAA